UAUUUAGGUAUAUUUCUUCAAUUCACUUGCGAAUUGCGAUCUUUCAAUACAUGGUUGUGACUUACGAUAUUAUUACAUUUUAUUCAAAUACUGAGUGUCUAAAAGUAAGCAUUCUUUCGUUCUUCAUUUGUUUUUCAUUUGUUUUCAGAUUUAGAUUACGUCUAAAAUGUCUGUUCGAACAAGCAAGGCGUCGUACAGGCAAAGUCGUGUGAAAGUUUGGCGUACUGAAGAAACGAAGAAGAAGCCAGUGAAUGAAGAAAUCGUCAUAGAUAACUCUAUAAUUGAAAAAUGCUCCUGCAACAUCAAUUGAAAAUUCAAGCAAAGAAUAGAAGGUGAUUUUUAUUUUGAGCAAAUUUGGAGAUUGAUGCACCAGUGUAGCAGUGGUUUCAAGACAGGAAGUUUCAAGGCAGAGAGUGAAAUCACAAGUCAAACGAUUUUUGUUCUAAUUGUAUUUUGGUUGUAGUUUGUAUAGAAUCUACAUAACCACUGUAUAUUUCUUUUUAUUUUGUAUUUACUGUAAAACCAGAAGGUGAAAAAUACUUCAUUAGGCAAACAUGCUUACUAGCAAAAAGCAAAAUCAUAUGUUACUAUGUUUUAGUAAAAGCUUUUGAGUGCGUCGAAAUCGGAAAUAUGUUUUCACCUUCCUUCUUAUUAUCACAUAAUAAAUAAUGUUUUAGAUUUGUUGUUGUAUCUUGUUUAUGAGUGUUGGUUAUGAAAUGUUACUGAAAUAAUUUACUUAUCAUUAGUGUUAUUAGUUUUGAGUGAAUAGGCAUGGAUCGGUAUAUUCUUCUUCAAAUACAUGUUUUGAUAAAAAAAAAACAAUAGU